AUUGAACGCUGGCGGCAUGCCUUACACAUGCAAGUCGAACGGCAGCACGGGUGCUUGCACCUGGUGGCGAGUGGCGAACGGGUGAGUAAUACAUCGGAACAUGUCCUGUAGUGGGGGAUAGCCCGGCGAAAGCCGGAUUAAUACCGCAUACGAUCUACGGAUGAAAGCGGGGGACCUUCGGGCCUCGCGCUAUAGGGUUGGCCGAUGGCUGAUUAGCUAGUUGGUGGGGUAAAGGCCUACCAAGGCGACGAUCAGUAGCUGGUCUGAGAGGACGACCAGCCACACUGGAACUGAGACACGGCCCAGACUCCUACGGGAGGCAGCAGUGGGGAAUUUUGGACAAUGGGCGAAAGCCUGAUCCAGCAAUGCCGCGUGUGUGAAGAAGGCCUUCGGGUUGUAAAGCACUUUUGUCCGGAAAGAAAUCCUUGGCCCUAAUACGGUCGGGGGAUGACGGUACCGGAAGAAUAAGCACCGACUAACUACGUG
rnacentral:rRNA from 1 species